AUGGCUCCUGCCCCCGCGAUGGCCCGCCGGGCGCCCAGAGCCACCUCUGCCCGUCUCCGCUCCCCGCAGGCGUUUGGACCCACUUCCCCUCUUCCAUUUUCACGCAAGAGCCCUCUCCCACGUGGGGGGAAUCCAUUGUUAUGGACAAGCCUGCACCUGGCCUCAUCUCUGGAGGCGUGGCCGGGGGCGGGGCGGGGCGGGGCUGUGACUGAUGCUCCGCCCACCUGUGCAGGCCGUGGGUGCUGUAGGUUAUCGUCGAGUGUCCCUGGCAACUUGGAGCUGGCGUUUCCUUCAGGGAGCAGCUCCCGGAGGGGAAGCGGUAUCCUUUUUAGAAAGGAGAGUCUGCGCGCUCCUGUGCCCUGUCCCAACUCCCGUGGCUGGCUGCACCGUCCCCGCCCCCCACAGGCUCCCCUCCGCUUCACUCCUGCGGCUCCUCCCAGGCUCGGGAAACCUCCACCCCUGCCCCCUCCUAGGACAGGGCCCUGCCCUCCUGCCCCCCCCCCCCCGGCUUCCGGCCACUCCCGGAUGGACCAUCCUCCCUCAGCUCCUCUAAUCCUGACGCAUCCUCUGGCCUCCCAUCGAGGCUUCCUUCGUCCGCGAGCUCGGACGCGCGUGGGGCCCGACUCCUGUCCACACAGCCUGCCCUCAGAGAGGCCUGGGGGAGCGGACGUGGCUGCCUUUCCCAGCUCUGCGGCCCCCAGGGCCUUGGUUUCUCGUGUGCGAAGCCCUGGUCCACCAGCGGAUGGGGUCUUGAAUUCUGGGGCCGCAGGGCCGACACUUCCGGUCCACGCGUGUGGCCUGCGUGGCCCGCUUCUCCGCCUGAGAGGACAUCCCCUCGGUGAGCGGGCUCGAGCCCCUCACUUGAAGGUACCAACGUGUCCUGUCCUCUCCACCUGGGGGGCGCCAGGACCUUCUCCACGGGGCUGGGGGUCCACGGGGCGCGCGUGCAGUGGGCACCGUGACCAGGGGCUCCUCCCCACGGCCGCGACUGCCGCCAUGGACGUGGACCCAGAGCCCACUGCGCCCCAGCAGGUGCGGCUCCCGCCCCCGCCCACACCGUGA
rnacentral:lncRNA from 1 species